rnacentral:snRNA from 1 species
CUCUCUUCGGAGACAUCCGAUAAAAUUGGAACGAUACAAAGAAGAUUAGCAUAGCACAAAUUGAGAAAUGGUUCAAUUUUUU